rnacentral:miRNA from 1 species
UUGAAGGUCCAUUGUCCACUGU